rnacentral:rRNA from 1 species
UACGAAGGGGGCAAGCGUUGUUCGGAAUUACUGGGCGUAAAGGGCGCGUAGGCGGCUUAUCAAGUCAGGCGUGAAAUUCCCGGGCUCAACCUGGGGGCUGCGCUUGAUACUGAUUAGCUUGAAUGCGGGAGAGGAUAGUGGAAUUCCCAGUGUAGAGGUGAAAUUCGGUAGAUAUUGGGAAGAACACCGGUGGCGAAGGCGGCUAUCUGGCCCGUAAUUGACGCUGAGGCGCGAAAGCGUGGGGAG